rnacentral:sRNA from 1 species
GCAAGUUGCUUUGGCAGAUAUCAUUCUCAUUAUAAAACAGACUUGGUUCCAGAAGAAGAUGUAAAGAAAUUAAGAACGACAAUUAGAUCCAUAAAUGGACUAGGACAAAUCUUAGAAACACAAAGAUCAAGAACAAUAAACAUGCAGUGAUUGAUUUUUCUUACUUCACUCAAGUGGAUGAGUGAGCAAGUGACUAAAAUCUUCUGUGAGUUCUUCAGUAGUUGAUCUCUCUAAUGUAUUAGAUCUUCAUGCCUUUGAUAGUCU